GACGAACGCUGGCGGCGUGCUUAACACAUGCAAGUCGAACGAAGAGCGGUGGAAGCUUGCUUCUAUCAAUCUUAGUGGCGCACGGGUGUGUAACGCGUAAUCAACCUGCCCUUCAGAGGGGGACAACAGUUGGAAACGACUGCUAAUACCGCAUACGAGCUAAUCACGGCAUAGAGGAUAGAUGAAAGGUGGCCUCUACAUGUAAGCUAUCACUGAAGGAGGGGAUUGCGUCUGAUUAGCUAGUGGGAGGGGUAACGGCCCACCAAGGCGAUGAUCAGUAGCCGGUCUGAGAGGAUGAACGGCCACAUUGGGACUGAGACACGGCCCAGACUCCUACGGGAGGCAGCAGUGGGGAAUCUUCCGCAAUGGACGAAAGUCUGACGGAGCAACGCCGCGUGAGUGAUGACGGCCUUCGGGUUGUAAAGCUCUGUUAAUCGGGACGAAAGGCCUUCUUGCGAAUAGGGAGAAGGAUUGACGGUACCGGAAUAGAAAGCCACGGCUAACUACGUG
rnacentral:rRNA from 1 species